rnacentral:rRNA from 1 species
UACGUAGGUGGCAAGCGUUGUCCGGAUUUACUGGGCGUAAAGAGCGCGCAGGCGGUCGUUCAAGUCGCGUGUGAAAGCCCCCGGCUCAACUGGGGAGGGUCACGCGAUACUGAUCGACUCGAAGGCAGGAGAGGGUAGUGGAAUUCCCGGUGUAGUGGUGAAAUGCGUAGAUAUCAGGAGGAACACCUGUGGUGUAGACGGCUCUCUGGACCGCAACUGACGCUGAGACACGAAAGCGUGGGUAGCAAACAGG